ACAGGGUGACAGGUGGUGCAUGGGUUGUCGUCAGCUCGUGUCGUGAGAUGUUGGGUUAAGUCCCGCAACGAGCGCAACCCUCGCCUCUAGUUGCCAGCAUUCGGUUGGGCACUCUAGAGGGACUGCCGGCGACAAGUCGGAGGAAGGUGGGAUGACGUCAAAUCAUCAUGCCCCUUAUGACCUGGGCUACACACGUGCUACAAUGGGCGGUACAAAGGGCUGCGAACCCGCGAGGGGGAGCGAAUCCCAAAAAGCCGCUCUCAGUUCGGAUUGCAGGCUGCAACUCGCCUGCAUGAAGCCGGAAUCGCUAGUAAUCGCGGAUCAGCAUGCCGCGGUGAAUACGUUCCCGGGCCUU
rnacentral:rRNA from 1 species